rnacentral:ncRNA from 1 species
UCUAAGUAUUUGGCUAUUAUGUCUGUUCUAAGUUAUACCGUUAAAGGUAUUUUCUUUAAAACAGUUUUAGCCGUUUUAUAUACUGGAUAAAAUUGACAGUAACGAAUUAUGGUGUUGAGCCACAUGAAAUUAUAUAUAUGUAAAAAUAUAUAUAAUGGAAAGUGUCCUAAAAUAUGGCUGUUUGCAAGUGGGUUGGUAAAAAAUAGUUUCAAUUCGGAUUUUUAACCGGUUAACUAUUCCGCCUACUGUUGGUAAACUGUUCCUAGGACUGUGCUUAUUAUCACCGGUCGGCAGCGAUUCAGGUUCAGGCUCUUAUCCGACCCGUCUUGAAACACGGACCAAGGAGUUUAGCGUGUACGCAAGUCAUUGGGCCUAUAAACCCAUAGGCAAAAUGAAAGUAAAGAGUUGGAGUUUUGUAAAUUUUUACAUUCUCUACUUUAGGGAAGAUGGAAAAUAUUGUGCAGCAAUGUAUAAGAUUUUCCCGCAUUCCCAGGGCGCUUGAUUCUUGCUUUGCAAGUCAAUGCGCACCUAUAGCGUACACGCUGAUACCCGAAAGAUGGUGAACUAUGCCUGGCCAGGACGAAGCCAGGGGAAACCCUGGUGGAGGUCCGCAGCGAUUCUGACGUGCAAAUCGAUCGUCGGAGCUGGGUAUAGGGGCGAAAGACCAAUCGAACCAUUUAGUAGCUGGUUCCCUCUGAAGUUUCCCUCAGGAUAGCUUGCACUCGGUUGAGACGAGUCUCAUCCGGUAGAGCGAAUGAUUAGAGGCAUUGGGGUCGAACGACCUCAACCUAUUCUCAAACUCCAAAUAGAUGAGAUCCCCGUCUUUCUUAAAGUGAAGCCGUGGGAAUAGGAUCAGAGUGCCAAGUGGGCCAAUUUUGGUAAGCAGAACUGGCGCUGUGGGAUGAACCAAACGCAGAGUUAAGGCGCCUAAAUUGACGCUCAUGUGAAACCAUGAAAGGCGUUGGUUGCUUAAGACAGCAGGACGGUGGCCAUGGAAGUUGGAAUCCGCUAAGGAGUGUGUAACAACUCACCUGCCGAAGCAACUAGCCCUGAAAAUGGAUGGCGCUGUAGCGUCGUGCCUAUACUCUGCCGUCAAUGACAAAGAUGAUUAAUAAGCUGUGUGUUAAUUAAUGUUGUAGUCUUGACUGCAGUAUUGUUAAUUACAAAGUUUAUUACUAUAUCAUCAUUAUGUCUUGAUGAGUAAGAGGGCCGCGGCGAUGAGCGCAGAAGGGUCUGGGCGAGAGCCCGCCUGGAGCCGUCGCUGGUGCAGAUCUUGGUGGUAGUAGCAAAUACUCCAGCGAGGCCCUGGAGGACUGAUGUGGAGAAGGGUUUCUUGUGAACAGCUGUUGCACAAGAGUCAGUCGAUCCUAAGCCCUAGGAGAAAUCCGAAGCGAUAUGCGCCCGUUAAAUAAUUUUUUUUUUAUUAAAUGUUUGGCGCUAUCUGGGCGAAAGGGAAUCCGGUUCCUAUUCCGGAACCCGGCAGCGGAACCGUUCCAAAUCGGGCUCU